GGGCUUCACUGCUUGAAGUUUGCAGGGAGAGAAAACAUUUUUUCUUACCUCAAGCAUUUGGGAACACGAACCUUCCUCUGUGUCUACAAUUGAAGCAGAAAACUUAAGAGCUAAAUGCAAACAGAGAAGAAGCUCAAGUCAUGAGAUUCAUGGCAAUAGUGCUGAAAAUGUUUCACGUUGCCCAUCUCCUUUCUGGAUCAUGCUUAGGCUUGCUAGGAGGACUGACCAGACCUCAGUGUGAUCACAUCAGUGGUCCUCACCUGAAAGUGGAAGGCUUGGAUUGCUCAAUGCUGCCAUAGGAAGGCACAGACUUUGAAAGCAGCAACUCCUUCCUCUUACAAAUUUGCAGUGUAUUCUCCCUUUUUCCACUCUGUACCACUGAGCAUGAUGAUGGUAGCUGGAGGAAACUUUUGUUUGUUUCUCUGUUUUGUUUUGUUUUUCCCUGACUUUAUUUUUGAGAUGUUAGUUACAUUAUUUGAGGGUGUGUAUGAGAUUCUGGAAGCACAAUUUACAUCUGCUGUGCUGUGAGAUCCUUGGUAUGGUAUUGACUCAUUCAUUGGCACCUGAGAGAGGUUUGGGGAAUUCAGCAAGCUUUCAACAAUCCAGUUUGAGAGAUUAUACAGAAUUAUGGCUCAGUCAGGUUCGUCCUAAUUUUAUUAGAUUUCCACCAUUUCUAAUUGCAUAAACAUAUGCAGCCAAAUAUACAGAUGGGGACUGGGAAGAUGUACAAGGACACUCAGAGUCUGUAGUCAGCUAAUUGGUGGACUAAGUAAUAGGGCACUUGGAAAGAUUGAUUAUUUUUUUCAGAGCAUUUCAGGAGAAAAUUCUGUCCCCAUUAAAACUGUAGCAAUCAAGAGAAGAAAGAUUUUAGCAGUAGAUUUUUUUGGAAAUGGAGAAAGAGACAGGCAUAAAUAUGCGACGCAGAAAAAAUCCAAGAUGAAUGAUGUUAUUUUGGGCAAGAUCUGCUAUUUUAGCCAUAGGAAGAAAGAUAGAGUGUCUCGAAAACAUAGAACAACUGGCUUGAUCCAUAGGGUAACAUCAGAAAUCUUUUGAUCAGGGCUAAAUACAACAGUUUCAAAUAUUGCCUGGGCAAAUGAGAAGUCAUUUUGUAUGAAUAUUGUUACUGGUAGCAAAUGCCAGAUUGUAUAAAGUUUUCAGAAAUACUUUAUAUUUUCUUUUGGAAGAUAAAUGUUUAGCUAGGGCUAUGAAAGAUCUUGGGCCAUAACUCCCAUUUCUGGUCAAAUGAUACCAUCU
rnacentral:lncRNA from 7 species